rnacentral:lncRNA from 1 species
UGGUAAUUUACCCAGAAGUUCUGAUUUUUCUUUUUAGUCAAACUAGGUUCUGAUUUCCAAGAUAAGGCGAAAUCCAGAGCAGUUUGGGAAAUGAAGGAAUCUGACUGAACAAUAAGAGUCAGAACCGUUGCCCUACCAUAAGCAACACCUUAACAGAAACAAAUUCCUUUGUCCGUUCAUUCUAUCCACAGACUAUUUUCAGAGAAGAGAAUGUCCCAGCUAGAAAUGCAAGUGGACGAGUGCCAACCCGAUGAGGCCAAUGAUUUGCGAGUGGAGACCUCUGAGGAACUUGGACCCUCGCUGAGUCCCCUUAGCCUCUUCACUUGCUUCUGCAUGGCCCGUCCUGUCAGUUAUUUCAGCAAUCCCUCAUCCCCUUGACCUCACCGCCUGCCCCUGGGGACAAUCACAAGAGGACUCCAUUUGACUCAGUCCAGCUGCCGCCUUCUCUGUCCUGCCUGAAGCAGCUGAGCGCUGUUGAGACCACACGGCCUCAUGGAUCUAG